UUUCAGAAGUCGAUAUUCUCUAUCCGUUCUUCUCAAGGCUUGAUAAAAAUAAAAAUCCAUCUAAUCAAUCUAGGUAAUUCAACAUAGUAAAAAUUUACUUUACUCUGGGGAAUAAAAUUUCUGGAACUGGCAACGCUGAUCACUAGCCACUCUAGCCAGCUGAGCAGCUGCAGAAACGAGAAACCGGAGAAACGGCAGUACGUGAGAUUUGGGUUUCAUUCGAAGAAGCGCAAGCCGAACAAGGAAGCAUUCAUUGGUGCCAUUUUGAUUUUGUCGUUUGCGCGUUGUCUCGAUCGUUUUGUGUGUUUGUGUGAGACUAACGUGUGUAUUGAUAUGGAACGAAAUAAAUUCCAGUUUGAUUACCACUUGAUUCUUGUAGCUUUUGGUGAAAGGACAAAAUAUGAAGAAGCGACAGAUGCCGAAAUAAUACAAAGUGUUACCCAUACGGAUAUGGUUUGAUGACUUCAGAUGGUGGACGGAAUAAAAAGAUUGCCAGUAGCCAACGACAAUAUCCGUUUCAAUUAUCUGCAGAUCCUGAUGACGAAGAUAAAGAAUUCGUGUAUAUUGAUACAUAUUUUAAUGUAGUUAAUGAAAAAUGAAUAAAUUUUUUUAACUGA